rnacentral:rRNA from 1 species
UACGUAGGGUGCGAGCGUUGUCCGGAAUCACUGGGCGUAAAGGGCGCGUAGGUGGCGACCCAAGUCCGUGGUGAAAGCUCGUCGCUUAACGACGAGUCGGCCACGGAGACUGGGUGGCUUGAGCACUGUAGGGGCUAAUGGAAUUCCGGGUGUAGCGGUGGAAUGCGUAGAGAUCCGGAAGAACACCAGUGGCGAAGGCGGUUAGCUGGGGCAGUUGCUGACACUGAUGCGCGACAGCGUGGGGGAGCAAACAGG